rnacentral:rRNA from 1 species
UGGGGAAUUUUGGACAAUGGGGGAAACCCUGAUCCAGCCAUCCCGCGUGUGCGAUGAAGGCCUUCGGGUUGUAAAGCACUUUUGGCAGGAAAGAAACGUCGUGGGUUAAUACCCCGCGAAACUGACGGUACCUGCAGAAUAAGCACCGGCUAACUACGUGCCAGCAGCCGCGGUAAUACGUAGGGUGCAAGCGUUAAUCGGAAUUACUGGGCGUAAAGCGUGCGCAGGCGGUUCGGAAAGAAAGAUGUGAAAUCCCAGAGCUUAACUUUGGAACUGCAUUUUUAACUACCGGGCUAGAGUGUGUCAGAGGGAGGUGGAAUUCCGCGUGUAGCAGUGAAAUGCGUAGAUAUGNGAGGAAGACACCGAUGGCGAAGGCAGCCUCCUGGGAUAACACUGACGCUCAUGCACGAAAGCGUGGGGAGCAAACAGGAUUAGAUACCCUGGUAGUCCACGCCCUAAACGAUGUCAACUAGCUGUUGGGGUCUUCGGACCUUGGUAGCGCAGCUAACGCGUGAAGUUGACCGCCUGGGGAGUACGGUCGCAAGAUUAAAACUCAAAUGAAUUGAC